rnacentral:tRNA from 1 species
GCGACCGUCUUCUAACGGCAGGAACCCCGGAUGUGACCCGGGACAAUGAGGGUUCGAAUCCCUCCGGCCGCC